GACGAACGCUGGCGGCGUGCUUAACACAUGCAAGUCGAACGGAAAGGCCCUGCUUUUGUGGGGUGCUCGAGUGGCGAACGGGUGAGUAACACGUGAGUAACCUGCCCUUGACUUUGGGAUAACUUCAGGAAACUGGGGCUAAUACCGGAGAGGAGCUCCUGCUGCAUGGUGGGGGUUGGAAAGUUUCGGCGGUUGGGGAUGGACUCGCGGCUUAUCAGCUUGUUGGGGGGGUAGUGGCUUACCAAGGCUUUGACGGGUAGCCGGCCUGAGAGGGUGACCGGCCACAUUGGGACUGAGGUACGGCCCAGACUCCUACGGGAGGCAGCAGUGGGGAAGAUUGCACAAUGGGCGGAAGCCUGAUGCAGCAACGCCGCGUGCGGGAUGACGGCCUUCGGGUUGUAAACCGCUUUCGCCUGUGACGAAGCGUGAGUGACGGUAAUGGGUAAAGAAGCACCGGCUAACUACGUG
rnacentral:rRNA from 1 species